UAUGAGAUUUUAAUAAAAUCA
rnacentral:piRNA from 1 species